CAAAAAUUGCUUUCAACGAUGACUGCCAUCUGCAAUAUUGUUUGUGCGGUUAUAUUUUUAAUUGUGAGCACCACAAUUGUUCAUGCAAACUGUAGUCCUAAAAUAGAACAUGAUCUCUUUGAAGACUUGAUUGGUAUGAUGAAGAAAAUCAGAGGUUCAGGUUAUGUUAUGACGGCUAUAUACCAGCUUUUUCAGCAUCAUUGAGUAAAUCGCAGAACUUGGGUUCCAAUACAAACGUUUUAUUUGAUAAAGUGUGGACUAAUGUAGGGAAUGGUUACAGCACUCAAACUGGAGUGUUUACUGUGCCCACAGGUGGACUUUAUCAAAUCUCUUGUACAGUUGUGGGUGCCUCAGGAAAAACACUUCGUGUUCAUCUGUGGAAAAAUGAGCAGAAAACUGUAGGCCUGUACCCUAACCUUGCUAACUUCAAUUCAGCUACUCUAAACAUGGUAUUAGAUCUGAAGAAAGGCGACCGAGUUUAUAUCAAACAUGGUAAUUCUCAAUCAGAACUUGUUUACAAUGAAUCAGGAAUAGACUCUAGUAUGUUUUCUGGAUAUCUUAUUUCCAAAUAAAAUGAGUUUAUAACUACA